AGAGUUUGAUCAUGGCUCAGAACGAACGCUGGCGGCAUGCCUAACACAUGCAAGUCGAACGCGUGUAGCAAUACACGAGUGGCGCACGGGUGAGUAACGCGUGGGAACCUGCCCUUGGGUACGGGAUAACCCGGCGAAAGCCGGGCUAAUACCGUAUACGUCCUCCGGGAGAAAGAUUUAUCGCCCGAGGAGGGGCCCGC
rnacentral:rRNA from 1 species